rnacentral:rRNA from 1 species
CACGUAGGGAGCAAGCGUUGUCCGGAUUUAUUGGGCGUAAAGAGCUCGUAGGCUGUUCGAUAAGUCGGGUGUGAAACCUCCAGGCUCAACCUGGAGACGCCACCCGAUACUGUCAUGACUAGAGUCCGGUAGGGGAGCGUGGAAUUCCUGGUGUAGCGGUGAAAUGCGCAGAUAUCGGGAGGAACACCAGUGGCGAAGGCGGCGACCUGGGCCAAUACUGACGCUGAGGUGCGAAAGCGUGGGGAGCAAACAGG